UUGGAGGGCAAGUCUGGUGCCAGCAGCCGCGGUAAUUCCAGCUCCAAUAGCGUAUAUUAAAGUCGUUGCAGUUAAAAAGCUCGUAGUUGAAUUUCGGGGUUCUACCGUUGGUCGGGCUUUGUCUGUACUGGCGUGUAGAAUUUCUACCUUCUGGGGAACCAUCAUGUUAUUAAUUUAACGUGGUGGGAAACCAGGACCUUUACCUUGAAAAAAUUAGAGUGUUCAAAGCAGGCUUAUGUCUGAAUACAUUAGCAUGGAAUAAUAGAAUAGGACGGUGGUCCUGUUUUGUUGGUUUCUGAAUCACCGUAAUGAUUAAUAGGGAUAGUUGGGGGCAUUAGUAUUCAAUUGUCAGAGGUGAAAUUCUUGGAUUUAUUGAAGACUAACUUCUGCGAAAGCAUUCGCCAAGGAUGUUUUCAUUAAUCAAGAACGAAAGUUAGGGGAUCGAAGACGAUCAGAUACCGUCGUAGUCUUAACCAUAAACUAUGCCGACUAGGGAUCGGACGAUGUUAAUUUUUCUUGACUCGUUCGGCGCCUUACGGGAAAC
rnacentral:rRNA from 1 species